rnacentral:lncRNA from 1 species
AUGAAUGCCCAAACUCCUAAUUUCUACUGAUCAAUUUAACCUUUUUAAAAAGGGACGUUUGAAAAGGACUUGGGGAAUGUUUGGGUUCCAUAUCUUCGUUUUCCAUUUAUGGAUUUAUUGUUUUCUGGGAAGAAGAUACAGAUUUUCUUUUGAAUAUGGCCUGUCUUCUUGUUUAGACCUCACAGCUCUCUAUUAGCAAUCAGGAGAACUUGGGCCACCAGGAAUCCAAAUUAGUCCACAAGUCCAUUCCAACUAGCACUGGAUUGAAACACAUCAGACUUGUCUCAGCAUUCGUCAAGCUUAGUCUGUAGCUGGACAAACUGAAAGAAGUAAUUUAUCUUAGGAACUGUGGCACAGACUGCUUUCUGAUCAUUGGGGUGGGAGCCAUUGGAAUCAGAGAUUGGAAUGUUUAGAGAUCUUAGAAUUAAGAAUUUAGAGUGAAAAUACCCUUUUGAUGAUACCUUCCUUUUACGAAUGAGACCCAGAUGGGUCACAUGCGCUGUCCAAGCUUGCCCUGCCAGUGGGCAGCAGAGCCGAAGUGCAGGUCUCCUGACUGGCAGUCCAGUCUUUCUUUUUCUUCUAGGCUGCCUCCCCUUCUCAUCAAAUGGGAGGGAGAAAUUUACUUAGAAGAUUCAUAUAUUAUUCAUUCCAGAGGUUACUUUAGUGGUCAUCUGUCACAAGGAAGAAAGCUGAGUCUCAGAGAGAUGAGAUGACUUGCUUGGGGUCACAGGACGAGUGGAUAUCACCAGUCACAGGGCACAGGUGGCCUGUCUUGUUGCCAGAGAGAACUCUCUCCUCCAGGCCACCCAGGCAUCCCCGACCAGGGAUGGUCUGAGCCUUCAAGGCAGGGGGAACAUUUUGAAAGUGUCACACUGUGGUGGCUGUUCUCAGAAGUGCCUCCCUCCUGCCGGUGCUCUGCGAGAACGUUGGUCUGUCCUUUAAAGUAGUCCAACCCUGCACCUGUGUCUUACCGAAAGAUGUAACCCUUGGGGUCCUAUUGGUUUGCAACUUGUGGAAUUAUGUGUGCAUUCAGUGGAGGUGUAUUUAUAUUUUUCUAGUAGUAAAAUAUCUCACUGCUUCCCUCCCAUUUAGAUUAGGUUCUGUUUAUAAGGAGUACCAAUGUAAGGUAGUGUGAAAUAGGGGAUUUUAUUGUAGGAACUGAGAUAACUCCAAUGAUGGAGGCAACCUGAGGAACUGGUCAACUCCAGGGACCCACUCUUCUUGCCAUCUCUUUCUCACGGCUUCCUGCUUCUCCUUAUGCUUCUGCUCAGUUCUCCUCUUUACUAACUGGCUGGUCCAGCUUGUUUGAUGUUUUUGAACUGUCUCAGCUGUGGCUUGCUCAUGGCAUUUGCCAGCAUUUCUCCCUGAGGCCAUCGUUCCACUCUUCUUUCUCUUUGCCAAAGGCUCCUUCUCUGCAGGUUUCCUAGUUCCAGCUCUCACAAGACAGAGGAUGUGAUUGGCUCAGCUUACCUUUUUGCACUCAGACGUGAGCCAUAGUUACCCUCCAGACUAUGGGAUUGACUGCCCUUUAGUCUGGUGCCCAUCCCUCCACCAAUCAGAUGUGCCCAGAGAAGGAGUCCAUCACAUGGCAAAUCACCUGCCAAAUGAAGGGUCUGUUGGUGGGUCAGUUUCUUUCAAAGGGGCUGAAGGAUCGAUCAUCAGCACAUCUAAUGCAUCUACUUUUUUAAAAAACUAAGAUUCAGGUACCAUGGAACUGAACUUGUUAAUUGGCAUUUUUUGUAGGUUUGGGGGGAAACUAUAAAAAUACGUUAUUCAGUAGUUCUUUCAACGAUCGAUCAGUGAGUCGUGGCAAUACUAUAAUUUCCCAUCCAUGGAUUGGUUGGCUCUUUUGCAAGUAUUUGUACUGGGUUCCACUCCUUUGAAACUGAAAUUUCAGUGUGUUGCUGGCAGAGAAUGAACCCGUGCAUGCUGGCCUUUGAGCUCCAUCCUGAGAGGGUCUUGCGAUCACUAUGUUCUUGACCUGGUCAUGCCCUGAGUACAGCUUUCCUGCACCCAAACCUUACUCUCAUAUGUAAACCAUAUUUUAUGACCCAAUGAUAGAAAUUAGUUGAUUUGGGAGCUCGGGAUGGUGCAGGGAGUCAGGCAGACAUGUAGAGAAAAAGAAAUUAAUCUUUACUGAGCACCAGCUGCGAACCUGGUAUGGACAUUCUCAUUUUACAGAAGAGGAAGCCGAUGUUCAGAGAAGGUAAGAUACCUGCCCAAUGAGACACAGCAAGCGGGUAGUAGAGCUAGAAUUUAACCCAGAUUUACCUAAGUCCAAGUCCCUCUAUUGUAUCAUACCUUUUGGAGUUGGUGGGUGAGAAGGAGGUCAGGUGGAGGAAGAUAGUCCAGUCGAGGAGAAUGGAGGUCGUCCCAGCUAGAGGUGUGCAAUAGAGAUGGGCAAGUAGAACGUGGUCAGAGACUGUUGCCUGGGGUGGCAGAUUCCUGUUGGAGAUGGAAGGAGAUUAAAUGUCCGAGGCACCCAGAUUCUUGCACAAUAUAAAGGCCAGCCUAGGGGGUAACUGACACUUUGGGAGGCCUUGCCGAGUCACUGAAGGCAAGCAUGACAUGACCGAGGCAGCUGUUUAGACUAGAAGGGUUAGCCUGGAGACGGGUAUCAGAAGGAUCGGAUUAGGAAAAGACUCGAGGUGAUUUAGGCAUGCAUAGUUAUGGGGGGCCCUGCAGUCUUAAGAAAUGUUUCACCGCUGGUCAUCGUUUCAAGCAGGACACCUUGUCAAGUCCUCUACCUCCUUAUCUGCUCUGUGACAUUCACAAGCUUGGAAUUGUCAGUCCUGCAGGAUCUGAGCUCUGCUACAAAGCAUAGCCUUCGAUGGAUGGAGAGAAAUGCUGUUAUCUCUCAUAAUGUAUCUUAUUUGAAGCUUCCAAAUGUUGUNUUUUUUUUUUUUUUUUUUUUUGAUUUUUAAAAACAGAACCGCUCCAAAGGGUAGUGAGCACGGGAAGCUGAGGCUGUGGUCUAAAUUUCCCCUGAAAGUCUUAACCACGAGUGAGAUUUUGUAUAUGUAUCAAUCAUACCAUUUCCAUGCUCAGUCUCUGUUCCUGUCACUCCAAGUGUGAGAAGAGAUAGACGAUUGAGAUAAAAGAGAAGUUCCUAGGCUUUACCUUCUAUUUCUCCUUUUUCUUUUCCAUAGUAAAAUUACCGUGAAAUUACUUGUAAGAAGUUUCAGGCAGUUGGGCUAAGCUACUCGUGGAUUUGUCUUGGGAGGAAUGAAAAUCAGCAAAUUUUAUCUUCUUCCCUAUGUUUUGCAGCUAUUGAGGCUAUUUCUAUAAUUCGGGCAUGCCCAUAACAUAAAUAACGUUGGCCCUGAAACAUAAUCUUUCUGCCACUAGAGAGUAAGUAUCAAGUUUGGAAAUGGGUUAGUUUAUCUAUCUUCUUUUUCGUGAGAAGACUGAAGAGGGGAGUUUAACCCCUGAACCCUGAGGGGCCAGUAAUAAUACAGGUGGAAACCUAGUGGGUAAAAAUGGUAACAGGUUGAACAGCCUUUUCUUCGCUCUCCAGGCUGGACCUGGGGUCUCUCUUCCUUAACGUGGCAGAAGUGAUAGAACAAAAUUACCACCUUGACAAAACGGAGGAAGCAGUCCUCUGUACAGAGGCUCAACGGGUGAUCCUCCCAGCGCAGGGAAAUGUUAAUGAAGCCAAGUCGAAAACUGAUGAUGUGCUGCCCUCAGUGUGUAACACACCAUGUUAAGAGCGAAUACAAGCAUUUCUCCUUAGGUUCAGGGACAGAGAAUUUGAGCAGUGUCCUGGUAACAGCCUGCAUGGAAGCAGAGGUGAGUUGCUAAAAUUUCAAAUUCUCUGUAAGGACCCCAAGGGCAUGCUCUUUCCUCAUUGGUUUCUUGGCUGAGGGCUGAAGUCCACUCAGACAUCCUCCAGUUUUGAAAGCACAGGCCAUUAGAUGUUUCAGACAACACGACAUGCACGGAUUCCUAAAAAGGCCACGUUUCCAGGGGACUGUGUGGAUGUGAAAGCAGGCCCUGGCAGUCAGGUCACAGGACUUUAGUGUCAGGUGUGCAUGAAGGCCGGGUGCUGUGGCUCCUUAAACCAGCACCUCGGUGGCCCGGUGGCUGGGAUCACCGUGUCCUCUUCUUGACCCUGUCACUGCUGGGUUGGGGGAAAUAAUGGUAGAGUUUCAGGUGAGGAUUGUGAGAAAUGCUGUAUAGCCAAUAGAAUGGGAGUUGGCCGAGGCCAGCUUCACGCACAGCCUGCAGUUUUCCAGUUCUCACCCAGGGCGUCACGGUGGUCCCACCCAUCUUUGCAUCUCUGGGGAUUCUGGGAUCCAAGGCCAACUGGCUGUGGUGGAACGAAUGAAGAGAGGUGUGUAAGCUCCCUGGAACACGGGGGGGCUUUGGAAUUCUUGGAUAAAGAGAGGAGACUGUGUCUGUGCCAAGCUCUUGGCGGCAGAAGGGGUGCAUGUGGGCCAAGCACUCUCUGAGGAGAAGGAGGGACAGACGCCCGUCCAUCUCGAGGCAUCCGUCUUUUAUAGACAAGACACGCUUUUAAGCGCAGAACAAAAAGUUGUGUCCUCCUGCCCAGAGAACUAGCAAACUCCUCCACAGAGGCUGCCUCAAGGGGCCUUCGAAGUCCGUGUCCCUUAAGGGUCAGACAGUUCAAGGUCAGCUGAAAGAACUGGAUUUUCUUGGGGUGGGGCCUGGAGUACAAACCCUUCAGUUUUGAGAGAAACUGAGCGGCGCAGGGACUACAGGAGAAUUGGGAUGGCAGUAAAGAAUGAAAGGAUUUGUUGAGAAAUGGAAGGCGUCAGAGCAGUGGCGAAUGACCCCUGGGGAAGGGAGGGACUUGGGGUCCAGAGUUACAGUAACACACCCACUCGGGAGCUCAGAGCCAAGUACUUCCAUGCCCAUCAUCCACGCUUCAAAUAUCGCCAAGGCCUGUGUAGCUUGAAAAAAUAAGGAAUUCUCAAUAUUCGGUCAAAUAUUGGCCACUGAAAAAAUGUCACCAUUUUCAUCAAAGUUUUGUGGUAUGAAGGUCUCGGGAAGGUGGCACAAGCAAGGAAUUGGUGUGGGUGGUAUGCAGGCUGCUGGGGGUGGGGGACAGAGAAGGGAGUCUAAGAUUAGCUCUUGGGGUCAGAGUUGUCCCCCUAAUUGGAGCAGUGACCUGCACGCUUGACACCUUUAAAUAACGUUAGACGAUCUGAUUCGGGGUCCAGUGCUACUCCCUGAAGGUCCGUCCGACGCAGCAAAGAGCACCACGAGCACAUUCUUGCUUCCCUCAGGUCAGUUCCUGAGAAGCUCUGCCUGCGUACCUCCUCAGUUUGGGGGAAGGAGGAGCCCCGACCUGGUCAAAAUCAGCCUUCCUUCCCCAGAGCGCCUGUGACCUGAGACCAGGCAAGAACCACGACUGACCACAGGGGAGAAUCCAGUCACUUUCGUUACACUGUGCUCCUGUUCCUACCUGCUCCUGGACCCUUGGGAAGCCAGCCCCACACUCCUGUAGACUCUCUCUCAUCCCCUAGAUGAGCCUUUUCGUCUACCCCUUGGACAUUCUGACCUCGUACACACCUCGAAGUGUACCGGUAACUCUGCUCUAAUAUGUCAAGUUCUGAAAACAUUUCCACUCUUCUGGCCAAGGAGGCUCAGCCAGUUGUGGGGUGAAAUUUGGGAAGCCUGGAUUGGGAAGUGAAGAUCACCUUGUUCUGUGGAAAGUGAAAGAGGAAUUGAAGCGAGGAAGCUAACGCUCUUCCUUUGGUUCCAGCGCAUCAACCUUCACCUCUCCCCGCAGCACCGCGAUCACCAGCCAUCAAGGCCACCUUGCCCGGUGCCUUUUUUUUAAAAUAUGGCUUUAAAUGCUUCAUCGUGGUUAGAAGACAACAUAGAGAAGCAUUAACAAAAUGAUGGGGAAGACACAAAAUAGAAGAACAGAGAAAGAAGAAAGAGGAAGUAGAAUUCAGGAGGAGAAAAAAUCAUGACAUUGGUUUAUUGAAAACUGAACAGAAGGCAAAAUUGCACCCAGCCACCUCCAGCCCAGCAGGCUUGUCAAAACCAACUCAGACACAGGGGGACUCUUACCUAUUUGUCUCUGGAUCUUCAGAAUGGAGUCAGGAGAGGUGGCAUUUGGAGGCAGCGGAGCUGUGCUGGUUACCUUCGUUUCCCCCUCUGCAUCUACAGAGGUGUUUUGCACAUAAAAGGAUUUCAACAGAGUGAAAUGAUCACUAACUUUUAAGUUAUAUCUACUCUUGCAAAGUGAAAUGUGGAGUUCAGAUGUCUGGGGGGAUAAAAAGGUGUUAAAAAAAGACCCAAAUGGUCCACAUGAAUAAAAGAUGAUACAUUUGGGCCAGACCCGUGGUCCACG